rnacentral:rRNA from 1 species
UACGAAGGGGGCUAGCGUUGCUCGGAAUCACUGGGCGUAAAGCGCACGUAGGCGGAUCUUUAAGUCAGGGGUGAAAUCCUGGAGCUCAACUCCAGAACUGCCUUUGAUACUGGGGAUCUCGAGUCCGGAAGAGGUGAGUGGAACUCCGAGUGUAGAGGUGAAAAUUCGUAGAUAUUCGGAAGAACACCAGUGGCGAAGGCGGCUCACUGGUCCGGUACUGACGCUGAGGUGCGGAAAGCGUGGGAGCAAACAGG